rnacentral:lncRNA from 1 species
GUCUCCUUCCUCUGUCCUCAUAUGAUCUUCCCUCUGUGUGUGUCUGUGUCCUAAUCUCUUUUUUUACUAUUUAUUUUUAUCUGUUUAUUUGGCUGCACCAGGUCUUAGCUGCAGCACAUGAGACCUUUUCGUUGUGGCGUGUAGGAUCUGGCUCUCUAACCAAGGAUUGAACCCAGUCCCCCUGCACUGGGAGCGCAGUCUUAGCCACUGCACCACCAGGCAAGUCCUCUAAUCUCUUCUUAAAAAGACUCUGUUCAUAUCGGAUUAGGGCCUACCUUAAAGACCUCAUUUAACCUAAAUUACGUCUUUCUAAAAAAAGUUAUUUAUUUUUAAUUGACAGAUAAUUGCUUCACAAUAUUGUGUUGGUUUCUGCCAUACAUGAACAUGAAUCAAGCCAAAUUACCUCCUUAAAGAUCCCAUUUCCAAAUAGAAUCAUUUUCUGACCUACCAGGUGUUAAGGCAUCAGCAUAUCAAUGUUGGAGGACACAAAUCAGCUCAUUACACUUGGGAACCUCUGGACUCAGCCACUCUAGACCAGCCUGGGAUUGAAUUCCUGAGAAGAAAGGGGUACAAAUGCCUCGUUUCCCUUCGACCACAUGCUGCAAAUGAGUCCUCUCCAAAUCAUCUAAUUUCCUGCUGGGGCUUUCACUGAUGCAGUUUUAUAAUCAAGUUUUACAAUCAAGCCUAUGAUAGCUUAAUAACAGAAGGUGAGGGCUCUUCCUUCUUUAUCUAUACUCUGGAACAGAACUGCUUCCUUGGUAGAAAAAGUUAAAAGUUUGGUAGAACUUGGUGAAACCAUCUGGGCCUGCUGCUGCUGGGAGAAG